rnacentral:rRNA from 1 species
UACGGAGGGUGCAAGCGUUGUCCGGAAUCACUGGGCGUAAAGGGCGCGUAGGCGGCUCAUGAAGGCUGUGGUGAAAGUCCGGGGCUCAACCUCGGAUCGGCCGUGGCGACUCGUGGGCUGGAGCACUGUAGAGGCGGGUGGAAUUCCGGGUGUAGCGGUGGAAUGCGUAGAGAUCCGGAAGAACACCAGUGGCGAAGGCGGUUCUCUGGGCCUUACCUGACACUGAGGAGCGAAAGCGUGGGGAGCGAACAGG